CACUGGUACUCCUGGAGGGAGGCAAGGCUAGGCGUUGGUGAGGAGAAUAAAGAAGGGCUGGCAGGGGAGCCUGGCAGGAAGGGUCCAGGAGGACAACACGGACCUAGUGGAAUCAUAAGACUCAAAUCUGGAGAGCCUUUGAGACUACCUUGAUCCACCAUGGCACCUCUACUGCAAACUCUCCGAGGAUGUCUCAAGGCGGUGUGGACCUCCCCUUGCCCUGAUACAUACAGAUGCCGCCAGGGUCCUCAGUCUCCUGAUGUGUCUAUUCUAGGCUGUCCUAUCCGUAAGAAACUCGGGGACCCCUCUAACCCCCAAACAUGCUUACAAGGACAGGGUAAGUCUCUCAUUUUGGCUACCCCGGAAACUAGCCUCUGUGAGAGAGGGUCUUCACAGCCGUGGUGACAGUCACAGCAUCACUGCGCAGGUCCCAGGAGUUCCCAAGGGAGGGAGGGAACAAAAAUUACCCCUUUCCCUACUACUUCUCAGAAAGGGGCCCUUGGCAGCCAGUCUCAUCUGAGGAGACAUGGUGGAAACCCAGGGAUAGUGUUCUUAGAUCUGAACUACCCUCUGCAGGCGCAUAUGGUGUGAAUACCUGUCCCUGGGCUGGCAGUGCUGUUCUGAGGGGUUGUAGAACCUUUGGGGCUGUGGCUCAAAUAGCAGGGUUGGAUUGCCAGGGAUGGGCCUUUGGUCGUGUCUGUUUCGGAUGCUGGUCUAGGAUCUCUGCUCCCUGGUGCAGGCUCCAUGUAAAGAGAUCCGAUACCUGCAUCCCGAGCAAUGGUGGACUGGAACUGCGAGCCCAAACAUGCACGUCUCCUUUUCCUAGUUUCUUCUGUCGAGUGUUUUGUUACAGCAUCAAGAAAAGCUCACCCAAAGGAGAACUAAACCACUCAGGGUACUGAGAAGCAGCCCCAAGCCCUGAACACCUCCCUACAACUCUACAAUCCCAGAACUUCCUGUUGGAUUGCAUCAUUUAACCCCGUUCUGAAUGGUUCUGCUUGUGGGUACUGAGACAGAGCAGAGUGGAACUGCUAAUGCUACUUCAGCCUCCAGCCGCAUCCAACGAGGGUACAUUAUCAAGUCACUGUAGGAAACCCACGAGAACAUUCCUGCCCAGAUGAUUCCAACAGGAAAACCACGAGAACAUUCUUGCUGGUGAACUCCAGCAGGGAGCUGGCGGCCAUACAACCUGAAGGAGGCUGAGGCAGCUGCAUCUCCUGUUCUGCCAUUGGUCUUGCUGAUAAGACCGUACGAGGACACGGGGCAUGGGAAAGACUUGCUCUUGGGGCUACACAGACGGCUCAGUGGAUAAAGUGACUGCUGCACGAACGUAACGGCCUGUGCUUGGAUCCCAGCACCCACAUAAGAAGCCAAAUGCAUCUGCACAAGUCUGUGAUCCCAGCAGUAGGGCAGUGACGUUGGGGAUCCCUGGGGCUUGCUGGCCAACCAGCCCAGCUGAAUUGGUGAGCUCCAGCUUCAGUAAUAGACCAUGCCUGCCUCUGAAUAAAUAAAUAAAUAAUAAAUAAACAAUAAACAAACAAAUAAACAAAUAAUAAAUGGUGGAGAGUGGUUG
rnacentral:sRNA from 1 species